AAGUCAUAACAAGGUUUCUGUAGGUGAACCUGCAGAAGGAUCAUUAUUGAAUUGUAAAAACGGGGAGUCGCUUUCAGCAUCCUCUACAUUCUAUCAUUCCUAAACACCUGUGAAUCGUUGCUGAGUUCGCUCAGGUGGGCACCCAUUUUUAUACAACACUUUAUAGUUUGAACGUAAAAACAAAAAACAAAAAUA
rnacentral:misc_RNA from 1 species